rnacentral:piRNA from 1 species
UGUAAUAGCGGACUUCAUUGC